GGAACCAUCUCAGCUUUUUGAAAUUCUGCGUGACUUACUGAGAGUAUUAUCUAAACACAUUGUGCUUCUGGCAGGUUAAUGUACACAUAUUAGUGCUCUCUGGUAUCAAAGCUUCUCUUCAGUUAAGUCAUGACUGGGGCUGAGAGAUUCAUUCUCAUUGGAUGCCUGCUGCAAGGGGCUCUGUGCAGUACCUGGUCAGCCCAGAUGCCUCAGAACAUACAAGCUCUGCAUGGAUCCUGUGUGCUGAUUCCCUGCACAUUCCAGAUUCCAUCUGACUAUGAUCAAUAUCUGAAAGCCCCAGUCGGAAUGUGG